rnacentral:rRNA from 1 species
UACGUAGGGUGCAAGCGUUAAUCGGAAUUACUGGGCGUAAAGCGUGCGCAGGCGGUUUUGUAAGACUGUCGUGAAAUCCCCGGGCUCAACCUGGGAAUUGCAUUUGAGACUGCAUAGCUAGGGUGCGGAAGAGGGAAGCGGAAUUUCCGGUGUAGCGGUGAAAUGCGUAGAUAUCGGAAGGAACACCAGUGGCGAAAGCGGCUUCCUGGUCCAGCACCGACGUCAGGCACGAAAGCCGUGGGGAGCAAACAGG